UAUUGGUAUUCCAGAGACUGGUCCAUGAUUUACUGCGAUCUAAUUAAAAAGGUCUCUCUAAGUGACAAUCGAGCUUAUAGUGUAAAUGAUAAUUUUCAACAUUUUUUUUUUUUUUUGAGAAACAAACACACACACAUGAUAAUUUUCAACAUUUUGAUUACACACAUACCUUUCAAUUUUUUUUUUCUUGGAAAAGUUAGGCACAUGUAUAUAGAAAAAUAACAAUAAAUCACAUGCACCAGAAAUAAUCGUGCCUGCAUACUAAUCAUGCUUACCAACCAUGGAAUAUAAAUCUCUAGGACCAUGAACUAGGGUCCACAGCACCACAAAUAAACAUGUCUCCAUGUCCACAAAAACAGUAUUUCCCAUGGAUAAAAUAACUUAGGUACAUGUUACAUCGAUCCCACACAAAAUAACAAAGUCCAAAUAAUUAAAAAAACUUUUCAAAGUUCCAAGCACUGUUUAGCUACAAAUAGCGAAUCUUCCUCUGAAUUUCGAAACUGAUAAUGAAACACCAAUAUAUAGGAAUCUUCAGCAAUGCUUCCCACGUCUGUACAUGAUUAUUAUUGCAUACAGCCAUACACGUCCUCAUCCUAGUUCCCACCUUAACGUUAGCUUCUAUCUAAAAUUAUAUGUUGUCUCUUUCUCAAUCUCUCACACCAAUCACCAAGCUGCUCUCUAUUUUUCAUUAUCUUAUGCACCAUUGGCUUAUUCUUAUCAAUGUCCAUCUCAGAAAUCUCAUCUUCACCAUCAUCACAAAGAGUUGAACUAGUUUCCAAGUCUGUGUCUGAACGACUUGUUCAAAAAUUUUCUGAUGUGUCUGAAUUCGACUUUGAUUAUGAGCAAAGUGGACUGUGGUCUCCUCCAAUCCAAAGAAGGGUGUUCAUGAGCUCCCCAGGAAGAAUAUUCACCGAGGAUGAAAUGCUUGCGAGACUUAGAAAAGUUAUGCAUACUCGUCCUCCAAGAAAACACAAAUUUUGUUUCAAUGUAUUAGUUUGUUGCUUCUGAAGAAGAUGUCGAAGACAACCUCUUUUCUAGGAAUGGAACUAAUUUAGCAGGUCAAAGCUCAAUACAAAAUGACCCCGAUUUAUAAUUAUUGUUGUAGUUUUUUAAAGAUUCGUUUACUUGGUGAUGUAAAUGUUACAUUGUCUGGAAGAAACACAGAGAAAUAUAUUGUUCAUGCCUAUCUAUUUAAUUUCCA